rnacentral:tRNA from 1 species
GUGGAUGUAGUUCAAAAGCAGAACGCCUGGUUGUGGUCCAGGAGGCAGCGGGAGCGUUACCCGUCAUCCACC